CGCUCCGCCCCGCCCCCGGGCCGAGCGGCAGAGCGCGCGGGGAAAGGGGCCAGGGCGGAGGCUCCUCUCAGAGCAGCCGCCAGCCGGGCCGGGGCUCGGGACUCGCUCGGCGCUCUGGCUGGGGAGCGAGGUGUAGGGAGAAUUCACUACCAACGAGUUCCCCGGACCGCCUGGUAUCUGCACCACAGAGAUCAGCCAGCUCACCCCCCUUCUCCUCCCAGGGGGUUGAUGUCCCUUAGCUCCAGCCUGAUGAAAACUACUGAGCCUUGGCUCCUUUCAGGAGUUACAGCCACACACACCUGAGCCGGGCACCUUCAAUUGAGACAACCCACAUGGAGUUUCACCAGACACAGAGGCAGCUCCCAUCUGGUCACAUUUUAUCCCCCCCAGGUUUCAAGAAUCUUGGAUUGUCCUUACCUCUCAGGCCUGCUCCAAGUCUCAUCCAGUGGAGGCAGGUGAUCAUCAGUUGGAACUUCCACCCACAACUCCAUCUUCAGGCAGUGUAGUGCAUAAUUGGCCAGGUUGAUUGUGCAGAGCUGAGUCACCUCCUGCUGCAGCACUGGUGUUAAGCCACUGUUUAAGACAAGAUACCAGGCUAGAUGGAGCCUUUGGUCAGAAAAAUAGGCUAGUUCCUGGCAAUUUUUAAUAUAUCCCACUUAAAAAAAACCAAAACCCUAGACUUAAUUCCUGCUUUUAUGCAGUAACUGCAUAUUUCUAAAUGUAUCUAUUUCAAACCACAACAUGCAGUAUGUGUAUAUAUAUAUUUGUAAAGAGGUCACCUGUGAAGGUGGGGGGAGGAGGUUGAAUUUAUGUCUGCAAGAGGUUUUGGUUGAGAAAAAACUGUUCUAGCCAGGAGGAGGUUAGCCUGUUAAAUCUAGUCUCUAGAAAUCAUGUAUUGAUUUUGUUUUAUUAUCCUUACUCACUAUUUCUUGAAUCUUGAUCUUUGAUAAUAAACUUAUGAUUGUUUUCACUACAAAUAUAUCUCAGUGCUGAAGUAUUGUACAAGGAGCUGACGCUGAGUUGAAUCAGUCAAGCUGGUGUGUAUACUCUUUUCUGUGAGUAUUCAGUGCAUAAGGGGCUGAACACUACAUGGGAACUCUUCAGAGGGGCUUGAGGACUGGAAUGCACCUAAGGUUAACCUGUAAAACAGAGUAAGGGCUAGGAUGACUCAGAGAAGAUUGUCUGGAUGGCUAACAGAUUAGUGGUAUCAAGGCAGUGACCCCCAGUUUAGCACAAGCAAGCCUCUCUCUCACUAGAGGGGUAAAGGUGACUCUCAGUCCUAGGAAAGUUGAGAACAUCACAUUCCCACACUAGUUAUCCACGGCGUCAUCCAGCAAAAGCAAGAAAAACAAGACUAUCUUAAGAAAAUAAAAAACAGCCAAUUCUUUUAUUUAAAAAAAUACUUCUUGUUAACAUGUACAGAAGGAGAAAUUGUUUUCCUUUGCAGAUAUAUUUUUAAACAACACUUAGCAUCACAAAGGGAAAUAAA